GAGUUUGAUCAUGGCUCAGAUUGAACGCUGGCGGCAGGCUUAACACAUGCAAGUCGAGCGGGGAAGAGUAGUUUGCUACUUUACUUAGCGGCGGACGGGUGAGUAAUACUUAGGAAUCUGCCUAUUAGUGGGGGACAACGUUUCGAAAGGGACGCUAAUACCGCAUACGCCCUACGGGGGAAGGAGGGGAUCACUUGUGACCUUUCGCUAAUAGAUGAGCCUAAGUCGGAUUAGCUAGUUGGUGGGGUAAAGGCCUACCAAGGCGACGAUCUGUAGCGGGUCUGAGAGGAUGAUCCGCCACACUGGGACUGAGACACGGCCCAGACUCCUACGGGAGGCAGCAGUGGGGAAUAUUGGACAAUGGGGGGAACCCUGAUCCAGCCAUGCCGCGUGUGUGAAGAAGGCCUUUUGGUUGUAAAGCACUUUAAGCGAGGAGGAGGCUCUUCUAGUUAAUACCUAGGAUGAGUGGACGUUACUCGCAGAAUAAGCACCGGCUAGCUCUGUGCCAGCAGCCGCGGUAAUACAGAGGGUGCGAGCGUUAAUCGGAUUUACUGGGCGUAAAGCGUACGUAGGCGGCUUUUUAAGUCGGAUGUGAAAUCCCUGAGCUUAACUUAGGAAUUGCAUUCGAUACUGGGAAGCUAGAGUAUGGGAGAGGAUGGUAGAAUUCCAGGUGUAGCGGUGAAAUGCGUAGAGAUCUGGAGGAAUACCGAUGGCGAAGGCAGCCAUCUGGCCUAAUACUGACGCUGAGGUACGAAAGCAUGGGGAGCAAACAGGAUUAGAUACCCUGGUAGUCCAUGCCGUAAACGAUGUCUACUAGCCGUUGGGGCCUUUGAGGCUUUAGUGGCGCAGCUAACGCGAUAAGUAGACCGCCUGGGGAGUACGGUCGCAAGACUAAACUCAAAUGAAUUGACGGGGGCCCGCACAAGCGGUGGAGCAUGUGGUUUAAUUCGAUGCAACGCGAAGAACCUUACCUGGUCUUGACAUAGUAAGAACUUUCCAGAGAUGGAUUGGUGCCUUCGGGAACUUACAUACAGGUGCUGCAUGGCUGUCGUCAGCUCGUGUCGUGAGAUGUUGGGUUAAGUUCCGCAACGAGCGCAACCCUUUUCCUUAUUUGCCGGCACUUCGGUGGGAACUUUAAGGAUACUGCCAGUGACAAACUGGAGGAAGGCGGGGACGACGUCAAGUCAUCAUGGCCCUUACGACCAGGGCUACACACGUGCUACAAUGGUCGGUACAAAGGGUUGCUACCUCGCGAGAGGAUGCUAAUCUCAAAAAGCCGAUCGUAGUCCGGAUUGGAGUCUGCAACUCGACUCCAUGAAGUCGGAAUCGCUAGUAAUCGCGGAUCAGAAUGCCGCGGUGAAUACGUUCCCGGGCCUUGUACACACCGCCCGUCACACCAUGGGAGUUUGUUGCACCAGAAGUAGGUAGUCUAACCGUAAGGAGGACGCUUACCACGGUGUGGCCGACGACUGGGGUGAAGUCGUAACAAGGUA
rnacentral:rRNA from 1 species